AUCUUCAGGACUCUUAGUCCAAUUUGUAUCUUGUCCGUACUCGGAUGUAUUUGAUCUUCUGUAUGAUUUGGAUCUUUGUAUAUAUCUAUUUGUAUCUUGACUCGUUGGAGUUGUUGUUGUAAUAUAUGUAUCUUGUGGGCUCUAUUGUAAUCCUGUUGUAAUGCUACCGCUCGUGUUAAUUCCUCUGGCAUCACGUGUGUGAUUUGUCGCGCACGUCGUGUCGGAGGGCGUCUCUGAAUCGAUAUCGUGCGGAUUUCGGCGGGAUCGCUGGAAUCCUCAGGGUACCGGUUCCGGGGCGUCACAAGUUGGUAUCAGAGCUCAGGUUGCGGUACCCCACUAGUCCAGCCUUUAGGAUAACCUUGCCAACGGUCGUUGAGUUUAGAGAGUCCAAACUAUUUUCUAAAAUUCGUUGGAUAGUUCAGAUUAGCUCUGAUUUUUCUCCUUACCUCAAUUCUUUCUCCUCUUAUCUAUGCGAGUUUUGAGUCUUCUCUCUUAUCCAAGUUUUCUGAGUGUUAGGUUCCGACGCGGGUUGGACGAUCUUGCCCCUCACCUAUUAGGUCCGAUCUUCGGAGGAUCCGACAGAAGCGCAUCAUCAACAGCGGAAGAACGACUUCUUGUUAGUGGUGUCGACCGACCAGCAUGGAUCAAGAAUUCUUGUUAGUGGUGUCGAGGAGAUCGACACGCCGCCUGAAGACCCAAUAGUUCACCUCUCUCCCCCGUACCUUGGCGUGGGAUCUCGGGACGCGAUCCCUUGUUAGUGGUGUCGAUUGUAACGGCCCAGGGUAGGACCCCUAAUAGAUUUGUCUGUUCUUUUCAAUUUGUGCAUCAUCAUGCAUCAUAUCAUCCAUGAUUUUAUUAAAUAAAACUAUUUUAUAAACCCCCCUUGUUUCUUCCUUUAAAUAAAACCCUAAUCGCUCUCUUCCUCAUAUUACUUAUUUUAUAAUUAAUAUUAUGCCAACAAAGAAGUUUUUAAAUAUAAUGUGUUUUGUUUUUAUUAUAAUAAAAUAAAUAUUUUGAAACCAUUUUUAAAGUCCCUCUCUCACCUUUGCCUCAAACUCAAAACAGUUUUAAAAAUAAAGGAGAAAAGAGAAAAACCUAUCUAAACCCUAACCAGACCACCUCUCCCUGGCCCGCAACCCUUCCUCCCUCCUCCUCAGCCGAUCCGGCCCACCUCCCUCCUUCCUUCCUCCCUCCUUGGCCCAGCCCAGCUCAGCCCAUACCCCUUCGGGACGGAGAGCUACUCCUCCUGUCGCUUUCUUCCUCAGGCACGGUGGCGUGACCACCACCGCACGUGGUUGCCUCAACCUGCUCCCUCCCCUCCCCUUUUAUUCCGCAUCCGAGGCUCUCCUCGAACCCUAGCCUCUCUUCCCAUCCGCCGCCGCCACCUACCUCCCUCCAUCCUCUUCUCUGUGAGCAACAAAACAGGGGAAAACCCCACUGCCACGACCGUCCUCGCCAUGGCGCCGCUGCUCCAGGGCUCCCCUUGCCACUCCGAGACCACCCACAGAACCGCCUCGGCGUCCUCUAUAUUCUCCCUAAAGGAAUCGAGCCGGGGUGCUCUUAAUCGUCUCCAAAUUCGCCGUUUCUUCUUCAACUCCGGCGACCAAAUUCUUCAAUUCCGGCCACCUCUGACCUCCCCCGACCAUUCUGAGUCCUUGUACACGUUCUGGGAGCUCGUCGCCGGCCUUCCUCCGGUGGUUCCCCGCUCCAAGAUCGGCCACCAUCGAGUUCAGCAUGGCGAGGCGCACCCCCGACGCCCUCGCACUAGUCCCGGUUCGCCCCAUGUUGCGAGAUCCAUCCUCGCCAGAUCCCGUCCGCCAUGACUAGCCUCCCCGAGCUCCUCCCAGUAUCCUUCAAAAGGUCACACGGUCCGACUCACACAACAAACAGUUGCAUCAGCGCAGUGAUCCGGCGCUGCAGAUGGGCCGAGGCCCAUCUCUCCCUGGCGCUGCAUGAUGCUGAUGUGCGCCCACCUUCUAUCCACCGCCGGCCCAGGCGCAGCAGAUUUUCCAGGCCAGCAUUUGCUUCUUCCCGGAUAGGAUCACGAAGUGGUGUUGUGAGAUACGACAAGUUCUUCUGCAGCUUUUCACAAAGUGAGCCCACCCCUUCACCUAUUUUACUUUUACAUGCUCUUUUGAUCUAUUGCUAUCCUUAUGUUGCGAUUCUGUUGUGUCACGUGUCCUAUCCACCUGUUACCUAUAUGUCCGAGAUACACCUCCUCGCCCUACCUAUUGUUUGUUGUUUGCCAGCUUUGCGAGUCGUAGGCGAGUUUAGGGUCUUGUUGAUAUCUCGAGAUGUUCGGGAUAUCUUGUUGGGAGGUUAUCACAUGCUAUAUCUUUUGUUGGAGAUAA